UCAGUUUCUUCUGAAUAAUUACUUUCUGAGUCACCAGAGGCACUGAACUGAAUGACACAGAUGAAAGGCACCCAUUUUAUUUUGCCACCUGUUUUGAUCUGCACUCUUGCAAAGCCUGGAGCUGCAAAAAUGGACGUAUUCAGCGCCCUCAGGAAGAGGCUGGACAAGGAGAGGCUCAGUUGCUCUAAGUCUAAAAUUAAGUGUCUGAGAAGAACAACUAUUUUCGAAUCCCCUGGGCGGCAGCAUCUUUCGUCUGAGUUUGAAACCCCGAGGCCUUCUAGAGUCUACGCUUUCCAAAAGGGAGCCUCAUAACCUUUAUUGUAAGAAACAGUUUCCAACGCCUGGUUUGGAUUACUGCUCAACAAAAGUUUACUUCGCCUCCCCCAGCUCUUCCUUCUGUGGGCAGAGUAUGCAUCUCCAUGUCAUUGAUAUUGGGCUUAGCCAUGUCUCUUACUUUGGGUGAUGGGGUGUUAGGGACAUGACAUGGGCUUACUCUCUUGUUCUGCUCUCAUGCCAGUGAGAAGAACAUGUCCUGACUAGCCUGUGCGUCCAUGGAGAAUGAAGGAUACGUGAAACAGACCCAGACCCAAUUCACUGUGUACAGCCAAGCCCAGCAUAUCCACAGACUCACGAGCGAGCAUAAUGGAUUGUUGUCUUAAGUCAUUGAAUUUUAGGGUGGUUUGUUAAACAGCAUUAUUACAGCAA